rnacentral:tRNA from 2 species
GCGAGUAUAACUUAAUAGGUUAGAGUGUCGGAUUGUGAAUUCGAAAACACGGGUUCGAAUCCCGUUAUUCGCC